UGCCAUCAUGCACAUCAAUUUUUGUUCUUGCUGUGUUCAAGAAUGGUCUCCCAAGUAAGAUAUCAGAGGUGAUGUUGCCCUUAUCCUCCUCCAUGUCAAUCACAUAAAAAUCAGCUGGGAAGACUAGUUGGUCCACUUGCACCAACACAUCUUCAAGCACUCCCUUGGGGUGGACAAUGGAUCGGUCAGCCAGUUGGAUCACAAUGCUGGUGCCCUUGAGUGUACCUGCAUUUAACAAGUUAAAAAUAGAAAGAGGCAUGACAUUUAUUGAAGCUCCAAGGUCACACAUGGCCUUCUUUAUUCCCACAUUGCCUAUUUUGCAUGAAACCGCAAACAUUCCUCUAUCUUUGCAUUUGACUGGUAGUUUCCUUUGGAUGACAGCUGAAACACA
rnacentral:lncRNA from 1 species